rnacentral:rRNA from 1 species
UACGGGGGGGCGAAGCGUUGUUCGGAAUUACUGGGCGUAAAGGGCUCGUAGGUGGCCAACUAAGUCAGACGUGAAAUCCCUCAGCUUAACUGGGGAACUGCGUCUGAUACUGGAUGGCUUGAGUUUGGGAGAGGGAUGCGGAAUUCCAGGUGUAGCGGUGAAAUGCGUAGAUAUCGAGAGGAACACCUGCGGCGAAGGCGGGUUGCUGGGCUGAUACUGACGCUGAGGCGCGAAAGCCAGGGAGCGAACGGG